CGCGUAAGUAAUCUGCCUAUCAGAGGGGAAUAACAGUGAGAAAUCAUUGCUAAUACCGCAUAUACUAAUUUUAUUGCAUGAUAGAAUUGGGAAAGGAGCAAUCCGCUGACAGAUGGGCUUGCGUCUGAUUAGUUAGUUGGCAGGGUAAAGGCCUACCAAGACGAUGAUCGGUAGCCGGACUGAGAGGUUGAACGGCCACAUUGGGACUGAGAUACGGCCCAGACUCCUACGGAAGGCAGCAG
rnacentral:rRNA from 1 species